rnacentral:lncRNA from 1 species
GCCCACUUCAUUCAGAAGCCACCUGGGGGCUGAGGAGCUCCCAGAGGCGUGGCCCACCUUUGGCCUGGCUCCUCCCUCGCGGGCUCAGCACCAGGUCCAGGUGGGGAGCCCAGGUGCAGCCAUAAUCUGGGUGUGGGUAAGGAGUGGGCUCGGGGGACCCACGCAGCCUCGGCCACAGGGAAAAGUCCCAGCAGCUGGAGGAGGAGGAGACCUCCAUUCUCCUGGCUUGGCCACUAAUGAGCUGGGUGUGAUGCUGGGUAAACCAUUCGCCUCUCGGGCCUCAGCUUCCUCCCUCACCUGCAAGAGGAAGGCCUGAGAUGAGCUCCCUGGUCCCUAAGGUGCCUUGACCUCUCAUUGUGAUUCCAGCCGCUUUGCUGUCAACUCAGUGAGAGGUUGUCCCCUCAGGGACUUCCAGAAAGGACUCCUGACUGACGGAAUCACAGCUUCUGUGGUUUGUGUCCUCAUGAAACCCUGGGACAACCAUGAAGGGGGAAAGCUCCUUCACGCCAGAUUGCAGCCUGGGGACAGAGCACCCAUAGGUUCCUCUCCCCGAUGCUGCCUAAUCCUCCCCAAGACUGCCGCCUGAGACCCUCCAGAUUCCAAGGAAGGUCCAGGGAGCCCAGGCAUCCCUUCCCGACCAUCUUCCUUCUUCUCCCUUGCCUCCCAUUUCAGGACCAAGCUCCUCUGAGGGCAAAGGCUGUUUCUUAGAUUGAUAGGAUUCUCCCCACCACACAAACACACACACACAGAGCCAGCUUUCAGAACUGAACUCCAAGAAGAACUAUUUAAUCUUUACCCCCGUCCCCCCGUGCCUGCCUUGCCUCCUCCUCGAGCUGCAUCUGUAACCCCCACAGAGCAGGGCUGUGCCUUCUCCCAGGGUCCAACCUGGCCUAGCCUCGCCUGUCUCUGACCCUUACUUUCUCCCUUUCUCUGCUGCCCUGCAGGGUCCUUCACACCCAAGAGGUAAAACAACUGCCUUUCUCAUUCCUCCCUCUCCUACCCUGGGCCUCAGCCCUCCUAACUUGGCCCCGGCAGUGCCCUCUCCUCAAUAGACAGAGGCCCCAGGCACUCGGGGUCCCAGUUCCCAGAGCCUCGGGGACUCUGUCCAUCACAGAGGAGGUUUCCUCUCAAAGCCUUGGUCUCUGCCCUGGAGGAGGGUGAGUGGGGAUGUGAUGGCCUCCAGGAGGGUCGCUGGAGUGCCUAGGGCUGAUGGCCCAGUCUCUCUGCUCAGCCUCCCUGGCCCCUACCCUCUAGGUUUCACCCUUGCCUGGGAUGGGGUUGGGGGUGUGUGCCAGUCGUGGGUCACAGACAAGGAGGAGAGAGUCUAGAAGUCACAAGGCAAAGGUGGGGGCCUCUGCCAACAGGAGGAGAUAAAGCUAAGGGGCAGUCCAUGUGGGCGCUGGCCUCUGGGUGCUGAGGAACACUCAAGGAGCAUCUGCUGAGGUUCUCGGGUGACAGCUACCUGGCAGGGCUGGCGAGUUUCCAGGUGCUGCUUUGGCGAGACUCACUCUUCUCUACCCUGAGGGAGCAAAAAUCCUUUCCCUGGGGCUGCCAAGCUCCCCAGAGGAAAGCGGGCCUCACGGCUGCAUGUUAAACCUCAUUCCUCAGCCUCGGCGAUGGCAGGGCUUGCCUCUCACCGGUGUCUGCCGAAGCCUCUGCCACCACAGGAUUGCAGCUCGUGCUUCUAAGGGCACCGAAAACCUCAUCUAAGUUCAGUCUGCACUACAACGUCCCCGUCAAGUUCUCAAACUCAACGCUUCCCGGGGUCACAGAGUCCUGCCUUGGAGAGAGAGGGAUUGCUUGAGCAGAGUUCAGCAGAGAAUGGCUCAUCUCUGCUCCAUGCAGUGUAUCCAGGUGGGGUUCAUCCGGCAAGUCGACGCUGGCCGUCACCUGGGAGCUCAGCUAGGCUGUGGGCAGGCGGCCUCAGUUCCCCUCCACAUGAGCCUCUCCGUGGGCUGCCCGGACUUCCUCCCAGCAUGUGAACUGUAUUCCAAGAGCAAGCAUCCACAUAGCAUUACUUUUGCUACCCUCCAUUGAUUGAGGCAGACAUAAAGGCUCACCCAGGACGCAGAUAAAAAGUCCUGCUUGGGAUCAACGGGAGGAGUCCUGGACUCCACUUUUCGAUGGGGCAGUAGCAAAGUUCUGGAAAACUAUGUGAGAUGGAAGAGAUUGUUCUUUUCAGAAUAUAAUCUGCCACAGAGCUGUCUCUUGCACUGCUGGUAGUAGUAUAAACUGAUAGAAUCUUUGGGAAAUAUGUAAUUUGUAAUGUAAUGUAACUGGUAAUAUGUUUUAAAAGCUUUGAGAAAAUAUAUAACCUUUGAUCCAACAAUUCUAUUUCUGGAGUUUAUCCUAAAGAAGUAAUUGAGGAUAUUUACUAAGAUUGCUAUAUGAUGAAUAUUUAUAAUAUCAAAAUAAGAUUGACCUAAAGUCCAAAAUGGGAGAUUGAUUAAAUUCUGGAAUAUCAUUACAAUGGAAUAGAACAUGGCCACCAGAAAUGAUUCAAAUGUGUAUUUUUUAACCUGAAAAUAUUUCCACACCAUGUUGUUAAGUGAAAAUAUGAAGUUGCAAAAACAGUUCUGUAUAGUAUGAUCUUAUUUUUGAAAAAAGAAAAUACAUAUAUACUUAUGGAUACUGAAUGCCUGGGUAAAACCUGGAAUAUAUACAGCAAAAUGCUAAUAGUGGUUAAUAGUGGUAGGAUUAUAGGUGUUUGUUUUUCUUUUUACUUAUCUGUAUUUUUCUCAUUUUUAUUAAAUAAAUAUUUAUUCUACAAUUAAAAACACUUUUAAUGGGCCAAGAAUAUGAACUGUCAAUUCAUAAAAGAAGAAUUACAAAG